GGCGAGAUGGCCGAGUGGUUAAGGCGACAGACUAGAAAAUCUCGAGACAUCUGUUGGGUUCGCCCGCGUAGGUUCAAAUCCUGCUCUCGUCG
rnacentral:tRNA from 1 species